AGAGUUUGAUCCUGGCUCAGAUUGAACGCUGGCGGAACGCUUUACACAUGCAAGUCGAACGGUAACGCGGAGAGAAGCUUGCUUCUCUCCGGCGACGAGUGGCGAACGGGUGAGUAAUACAUCGGAACGUGUCCGCUCGUGGGGGACAACCAGCCGAAAGGUUGGCUAAUACCGCAUGAGUUCUACGGAAGAAAGAGGGGGACCCGCAAGGGCCUCUCGCGAGCGGAGCGGCCGAUGACUGAUUAGCCGGUUGGUGAGGUAACGGCUCACCAAAGCAACGAUCAGUAGCUGGUCUGAGAGGACGACCAGCCACACUGGGACUGAGACACGGCCCAGACUCCUACGGGAGGCAGCAGUGGGGAAUUUUGGACAAUGGGCGCAAGCCUGAUCCAGCUAUUCCGCGUGUGGGAUGAAGGCCCUCGGGUUGUAAACCACUUUUGUAGAGAACGAAAAGACACCUUCGAAUAAAGGGUGUUGCUGACGGUACUCUAAGAAUAAGCACCGGCUAACUACGUGCCAGCAGCCGCGGUAAUACGUAGGGUGCGAGCGUUAAUCGGAAUUACUGGGCGUAAAGGGUGCGCAGGCGGUUGAGUAAGACAGAUGUGAAAUCCCCGAGCUUAACUCGGGAAUGGCAUAUGUGACUGCUCGACUAGAGUGUGUCAGAGGGAGGUGGAAUUCCACGUGUAGCAGUGAAAUGCGUAGAUAUGUGGAAGAACACCGAUGGCGAAGGCAGCCUCCUGGGACAUAACUGACGCUCAGGCACGAAAGCGUGGGGAGCAAACAGGAUUAGAUACCCUGGUAGUCCACGCCCUAAACGAUGUUAACUAGUUGUUGGGAAGUAAUAUUCUCAGUAACGCAGCCAACGCGAGAAGUUAACCGCCUGGGAAGUACGGUCGCAAGACUAAAACUCAAAGGAAUUGACGGGGACCCGCACAAGCGGUGGAUGAUGUGGAUUAAUUCGAUGCAACGCGAAAAACCUUACCUACCCUUGACAUGUCA
rnacentral:rRNA from 1 species